rnacentral:rRNA from 1 species
UACGAAGGGGGCUAGCGUUGCUCGGAAUCACUGGGCGUAAAGGGUGCGUAGGCGGCUUGGUGGGUCUGGUGUGAAAGCCCCGGGCUCAGCCCGGGAAGGGCACUAGAAACUGCCGAGCUGGAGUGCCGGAGGGGAGAGUGGAAUUCCUGGUGUAGCGGUGAAAUGCGUAGAUAUCAGGAAGAACACCGAUGGCGAAAGCAGUCUGCUGGGCUUAUCCUGACACUGAGAUACGAAAGCGUGGGGAGCGAACGGG